GAAUGAAUGAAUGAAGAAACCAGAUGGCAAGGGAGAUCAUCAAUAGAGACAUUAUGACAAGGGACGUAACUAUGACGAUCCUGUGUGUUUUUACAUUUAAUAUCUGAGAUGUACUACAUAGUACCAUAAUUGCUGUACUUAACACCAACUUCUAAAAGAGAUAUUUCUGACACUGGUGGCUCUGUGAACAGUUUUUCAUCCAAAGCUGAAAGUAUUUAGUCGUAAAGGAAAUGUAAUAGAAUUUGCAACUACAGUGAUACUGAGCUGGGUUUCUUUUUUUAAGUGAAGCAUUGCUAAUUAGUAGAUACCCAUACUUACCUAUCUGCACAUAAUGAAAACCAGUUGCAGAGAAAACCAGCAGCAUUUGAGACAUCUGACACCGAAUCUACUUCCAGAGAGUCAAAUAUUUCGUUGUGUUGAAAAAAGUUUACUGGAUUCCAUCUGACAGUGAUUCCAAUUUAUAUUGCUAUUUUAUCAUUUCAAUUCUAAUUCUGAUAUUUAUUUAUAUCAUCAUUUUGUUUCUUUCUUCCUGCUCAGUCUCCUGAGUUUUCUCACUCUAAGCGAAAAAUCAAAUCAUGUCUGGGACGUCUCUGUUGUAGAUCGUUUCAUCUUUUAAACAGUGUCUUAUUAAAACAAAGAAAAAAAAGAAAAAAAUAUAUGAACCACAUACAGGUGUCAUUUCUAAGUUUCUUACUAAUUGAUGUAAAACAAAAUUUUAGUGGGGAAACACUUUGAAAGAGGCCAUCAAUAAAGAAAGAAAAGAAAAUAAAGAAAAUUACACAAGGUCAAGUUUAUUUCAAAAGAUGAUUUCUGACAAAAUACACAAGGCGGCAGACACUACAAGGAACUUGGCCUUGUGAAUGCUGGAUUUUGACUGCCAACCAUCUCCUUUUUUAACCUCAUCACUGGACAGUGUUUGAGUGUAGAGGACACAUGAGGCGGCGGUGUGCAGAUGAUUCUAAGUCAAACUGUCUGGUUUGUGGGAAAAGCUUUGUCCAUGAAUACAGAGCUAAAACUCCUGUGCCGAGUGAGCCACCACCAGUCACAUCACAUA